rnacentral:rRNA from 1 species
CGGACGGGUGAGUAAUACUUAGGAAUCUGCCUAUUAAUGGGGGACAACAUCUCGAAAGGGAUGCUAAUACCGCAUACGCCCUACGGGGGAAAGCAGGGGAUCACUUGUGACCUUGCGUUAAUAGAUGAGCCUAAGUCGGAUUAGCUAGUUGGUGGGGUAAAGGCCUACCAAGGCGACGAUCUGUAGCGGGUCUGAGAGGAUGAUCCGCCACACUGGGACUGAGACACGGCCCAGACUCCUACGGGAGGCAGCAGUGGGGAAUAUUGGACAAUGGGGGGAACCCUGAUCCAGCCAUGCCGCGUGUGUGAAGAAGGCCUUAUGGUUGUAAAGCACUUUAAGCGAGGAGGAGGCUCUCUUGGUUAAUACCCAAGAAGAGUGGACGUUACUCGCAGAAUAAGCACCGGCUAACUCUGUGCCAGCAGCCGCGGUAAUACAGAGGGUGCGAGCGUUAAUCGGAUUUACUGGGCGUAAAGCGUGCGUAGGCGGCUUUUUAAGUCGGAUGUGAAAUCCCCGAGCUUAACUUGGGAAUUGCAUUCGAUACUGGGAAGCUAGAGUAUGGGAGAGGAUGGUAGAAUUCCAGGUGUAGCGGUGAAAUGCGUAGAGAUCUGGAGGAAUACCGAUGGCGAAGGCAGCCAUCUGGCCUAAUACUGACGCUGAGGUACGAAAGCUGGGGAGCAAACAGGAUUAGAUACCCUGGUAGUCCAUGCCGUAAACGAUGUCUACUAGCCGUUGGGGCCUUUUGAGGCUUUAGUGGCGCAGCUAACGCGAUAAGUAGACCGCCUGGGAGUACGGUCGCAAGACUAAAACUCAAAUGAAUUGACGGGGGCCCGCACAAGCGGUGGAGCAUGUGGUUUAAUUCGAUGCAACGCGAAGAACCUUACCUGGUCUUGACAUAGUAAGAACUUUCCAGAGAUGGAUUGGUGCCUUCGGGAACUUACAUACAGGUGCUGCAUGGCUGUCGUCAGCUCGUGUCGUGAGAUGUUGGGUUAAGUCCCGCAACGAGCGCAACCUUUUCCUUAUUUGCCAGCACUUCGGGGGUUGGGGGGAAACCCUUUUUAAGGGGAUUUACCUGGCCCAGGUGGACCA